AAAACGACCCAUCACAACCAUUACAGCUAUCAAGUAAAAGCCACACAGGACCAGCAAGUGGGAAAGACUUCAUUGAUCACAAGGUUCAUGUACGACAGCUUUGAUAACACCUACCAGGCCACAAUAGGAAUAGAUUUUUUAUCGAAAACCAUGUAUCUUGAGGAUAGAACAGUAAGUACUCCCUUAAUUUUCUUAACUAAAGGGGAAUCUUUACAAAAGAACGCUAGUUUGAAUUG